UACGUAGGCAGCGAGCGUUGUUCGGAGUUACUGGGCGUAAAGGGUGUGUAGGCGGUUUUUUAAGUUUGGUGUGAAAUCUCCCGGCUCAACCGGGAGGUGCGCCGAAUACUGAGGGACUAGAGUGCGGGAGAGGAAAGUGGAAUUCCUGGUGUAGCGGUGAAAUGCGUAGAUAUCAGGAGGAACACCGGUGGUGUAGACGGCUUUCUGGACCGUAACUGACGCUGAGACACGAAAGCGUGGGUAGCAAACAGG
rnacentral:rRNA from 1 species